GUGCCGCGUGCCGUCCCUGUCGCGUGGAUCCGACGCCCUCCGGGCCCGUCCCCGCCGCUCAGGAAUUGGGUGCUCGACUCCGGACUAAAAGCCGCUGCCCUCUUCCUCCGCCACAUCGAGGUACCACCCACUUCCCAUGAGGCUACUUCCGCAUCCUUAGCUGUUACGCCAUCGAUUCUCCAAGAGGACGCUGGGUGGGCGGCGGUCGCUGGGCUCGGGUUCCUUGGGGCCAUGCUGGGUGUUGUCCCACGACCCUGGCAAGAUCUGCCAUUGUGACGAUGAUUAUGGGAUCCACGUGAAGGAGAGGCUGGAUUCGUUUGGAGACGACGGGAUCAGCUAGAUACAUGUCCGCCUGAGCAGUUUAUCCAUCGCGCCGGUUCCCGUGCUUGCGCCAGUGUUGUUCCCCAAUGCAGACAAGCUCAUCAUCGAGGCUCCAGAUCCAGUGACAGCAUCUUUCCCUAGAGCUCAUGGAGCCCACCGCCUCAUUAUGUAGGCAUUCUGCAUUGAGUGACCUGCUCAUCGCCAAAUCGAGGAUAUAGUGCAGAUAAAUCUGCAUCCACCGCCAUUGCCUAGACUAGCAGGAGGCACGCCGAAACCGCGUGACCAGCGAUCAAGUUGAACGUGGCGACCACCAUGAUCUUGUGCAUCCUUAGUCAUCUAUCCUUUCUAUGUUUCCACAUUAGAAGUAGGUGCAUGAAAAUGGUUUCAGCUUGUGUAACUUAAUCGAGUAAUCAAUAACUUUUAAUAUAUCAUGAUCAUGGUAUUGUAUAUAUGCCUAAUUGGCUUUAGUAGUGGCUGUAAUUGACCAUGACGCCUAAUUUAUUUUUCACUCAUUUUCAA